GUUUGAUUAUGGCUCAGGAUGAACGCUAGCGGCAGGCUUAACACAUGCAAGGUCGAGGGGCAACGCGAGUAGCAAUACUUGGCGGCGACCGGCGCAAGGGUGCGUAACGCGUGAGCAACAUGCCCGCAUCAGGGGGAUAAUCCAGGGAAACUUGGUCUAAUACCCCAUAGUAAUUUUGUAAGGCAUCUUAUAAGAUUUAAAGCUUUGGUGGAUACGGAUUGGCUCGCGUGACAUUAGCUGGAUGGUAAGGUAACGGCUUACCAUGGCUAUGAUGUCUAGGGGUUCUGAGAGGAAGGUCCCCACACUGGAACUGAGACACGGUCCAGACUCCUACGGGAGGCAGCAGUGAGGAAUAUUGGACAAUGGAUGGAAAUCUGAUCCAGCCAUGCCGCGUGAAGGAAGAAGGUCCUAUGGAUUGUAAACUUCUUUUGUAUGGGAGCAAUAAGGCCUACGUGUAGGUUGAUGAGAGUACCAUACGAAUAAGCACCGGCUAACUCCGUGCCAGCCGCCGC
rnacentral:rRNA from 1 species